ACCAUGGGUGUCGGCUCAGAGAGGACAAGGGGCACGAAGAUGACGGAGAGCUCCUGUGACUCGUUUACCAUGAAUAUAAAGCCGAGGGCAAACAUGCAGGUGUCUGCUGCUGCAUGCUGCUGUGUUGUGUGCCGUGCUUUCAACAAUCAGGGGUAAACUUCAGCGGCGGUUUUUCGGCCCACGUGAUUCCGAGUGCUCGCCAGGAAGGAAAGGGGGUCUGUGAUUGGAGGUCUGUGGGGAAGGUUUCUGGAGUAUUUGCGAAGGGGGCUCUGAGGAAAAGGGACCGGUUCCGGAGCGGCUCCGAGGAGGACAAUGGGAGCUGGGCGUUGACCUCUGACCGCCUCUGCUAUCCCUGUCUCGACCAAUCCUGCUCCGAGAUGGCAGGGAGAGUCGGAGCUGUAUUGUCAUCCAGGAAAAAGCCUCCUGCCUGAUCCCAGAGCCUCCCUUCCGCUGGUGGGAUGAAACAGGUACUAAGUUUAGAACUGGGAGGGUUGAAUGGUUUUGUCAUCAAAGAGGACGAGGCUAAAAUAAUGAGUGAAAUUCUAGAGUCAAGGCGAUCUUUGUCACCGUGGUCACACCUGACCUGACGCUCCCUCCCUUAGUCAACCAGACGCUUUCAAGAGAAAUCAGUGGCCAAUUAAAAGCACAUAAAACCAUUAACUUUACUUAUUUCAAUACCUGAUGCAGCCUGACUCAACAAUUUAUCUCGCAAUACAGAAACCAAAGAGUAGUGAUUGUCACUUCGCUGUUACGUAAGCCAGCUGUUCUUAGCCAACAACCCCUCCCACAUCCACCAAACUGCUCCGUUUUGCAGAAGAAAGUACCUAAAAUGAGAAAUUCAGGUUUAACCAGGUUUAACAGAAGUACAAAGGUUUAGAGGAAGAUCUGUGUUGGCAGAAAGAGAAACCGUAAGAAUAAACUGGAACAGUUAGAAUAUAUAAACCAAUAUACAUCAGUUUCUACACCGGAGGAUGUAAAACUGAGAAAUUCAUUUAUUAUAAGUCACGUGGCGUGAUAGAGAAAAAAGAGAGGCCACACCACUCUUGUGAUUAAUGAAUCACAAUGUCUGUGACCCUUUGUACGAACCCAGCAGCUGAUAGAGACUGGAAACGUAACCUCUGAGGUUAGAUUGACCUAAUAUAAGAAAAACGUCACCUCAGCAAUGAGAACUGAAAUUAAACGGCACAUUGCAUGGCAUUAUGAUCGUCACUGUAGUCUCUGCCAACGCAACAUCGCAGUAACAAAGCAGCAUUUGAUAAACCAUUAUGCUGUGCAGUGAAAAUGCAGUUUCACCGUCGCAGAUUUCUUCUCCUUUUGCUUUUAUGUCACACAAAAUGUUUGAAUAUCCUGAGUAAAUACAAACGUUUCAAAAUGAUGAUUUCAUUUAUUAAAGGUAAAAAACUAUUCAAAUUUCUAGGUGAAAAUGUAACUGUCCUCAAUGUUAAAUCAUAAAUUAACUGUGAACAUUUUUGGUUCAGUUUCAUCAACCUCACCAAAGCCAUACCUCUAAAAUCAAUACGUUUUAAAGCAAGACCUGACUGACAACAUGAAAUACGCUAAAAAAUCUCAAAAAGAAACACAUUCAGAAAUUCAGAGUUAGGAAAAGGAUCUACAAUCUGUGUUUUAAUGAUAGUUUAGCACACCCUGGAUGGUUUUGCAUCAGUAACAAGCGUAACAUAUAUAAUUUGCAGAAGGGUAGAUGGUUAAUGUCUGAUAGAAUUGCAUUGCAUUCCAUCAGUGUCAGCAUUUUUUUUUCCUAUUUACUAAAAUCAUCCCUAAAAAGAAAGCUCUAGUAAGUGUAGCUGUUAGCCUUUGAGGAUCUCUUCACUUUUGCUUGCUUCUUUAAUGUCUGUUUGAUGCAAGUUAAGGAAGAAAUGAUGAAAAUAUGUCAGUUUUGUAAACAAAAAUUAUACAUAAUUCUGAAUCUUAACCGUGAAUGUGUUUUCUAAUCAGAAAAUAAAUAUAUUCCUACUCAAUGUUGACUUUUCCAAGAUUUGCAUGCAGAAGUAAAAAGUAUAAGCAGAUUUAUUACAUUUCUAUGAUGUGGAGUUUCUUUAAAUUGGGAGUAAAAAUAUUGGUAAUAUCGGGGUCUUAUUAAUGAGCUACUUUGUAAUGAGAGGCAUGAGUGUGACUUUUAAAUUAGCAUAUAAAAUCAUCUUAAUUCUUUUGUGUAAUUUUCAUUUCUUUCCUUGGAUUUUGUGUAAAGCUCUUUGGACACAUUGCAUAUGCUAAGGGCUGCAUAAAAAAAAACGUGCAUUGCCUUACGUGGGCUCUAAAUUGCAAAGAUGCAAGUAAAAUUACAGAGGGGACAAAAAGGUGGAGUCUGCUUUUUACGCUUCAUUUUGCGUCAGUGGGUCUAAAUUAGUGGAUCAUUUCCUUUCUUACUGCCGUUCCCCCAAUGCUACAGAAGCACUUUGCACCAUUUUCAAGCUAUGUUUAACUCAGAAAAGCACCAUCUCUUGUGCAACGUUAAAAACUCCUUUGAUUCACUGUUUAGUGACAUCUCACGCCGAAUGUGCUAAUCAGCUAAACCCUCUUUGCUCGUGACGGUGUGCGUGCAGUAUGGGUUUCAAAGCUUCUACUUGUUUUUGUGCCGAUUUCUCUUUCAUGUUAGGAAGUUGAGCCAACAGACGGAAGCUUAUUGAGGAAAGAUGUGUCAACAGUUCCUGUUCUUCACUUCCUCUCUUCUCCAAGUGAAAGUCUGAGUCCCUGAAAGUGUGUUCGUUUCAAAAACAUUUCUUUUUUUUUCCAUUUCUGGAAGGAACGUUUCGCAAACUCUAAUAAAGACGCCAUUUGACUUUGAUCUUUCAUAAAACUGCGGCAAAUAUUGAUAAGCGGGACAAGAUGCAGAUUCCACAGAUUGCUGAGCCGUGGAGAUUCCUCGGCCCUCCGCGACACAGAUCGUCCUCUGUUGUCCCUGCCAGGGUGAGCUGUGUCCUGUCCCAAGUCGCAGGGAUGCCCAACGUCAGCUGGGGCGCCCACCAAGCGCCAAGGAGUCCAGUGCCGUGGCUGAAACCCUAACCCUUUCUCUUUCCACUUGUCUUCAUGCAGAUUAGCAUAUCUAAUGUCUAAGUGAGUUUAAUAUAGUCAUCACACGUCAAGUAGAAUUUAGGACUUUUUUAUUUUUUAAUCAUAGAUCAGUGCAAUGCAUCAUCCUUAAUCUAUUCCAACUAGCACUCCCAUCCAAACUCUUCAGUUUGGAAGUUGCUACCAACUGAAGAUGGGUUAGCUAUUCUCGGUUUUGCGAGGUGUUCGUUUUGAAGGCAGAUGUAUACCAUCAAGAUGGUAUUUAAAAUAAUUCAGUUUUGACCUCAAGGGUUUUUCACUGUUGGCAAAUUUUAAACCCUCAAAAUAGCACUUUUCUUAACUUUUUUUUUUUUUUUUUUAGAACAAAACUAGUCAAAGAAUCUGUUUCUGCUUUUGGAGCCUUUUGGACUUUUUUUUUUUUUAAAUACUGCCUUAGGUGCGUGACACUUUUGUAGAAAUAAAUCUGAAGCUUUAGCUCCUGCUUUGUUUUGAAGAUUCACUUCACAGCUUGACGUGAUCGCGUUCGAGACCUGGUCUGUGUUCCCUCUGAAAGCUCUGAUAACAAAUUUCACCAUUCGGUUUGACAUAAUGGCGCCUAAAACUGAAUGCUUUUUGCAAAAGCGAAAAAUGUAUAUACAAUGUCAGACAGUUACAAUAGGCUUUACUUUUUUUUCUUAUCAUUUUAAGAUUCUGCAUAGGACUUGUAUUGUAUUUUCAUAGGUUUCCAAUCACAUAAAGACACACAGAACUUCUUUUAAACUUGUUCUCUGCGUUAUCACAUGUCAACAAUCAUUACUCUGUGGUUUGCAACAAACAUUUUCUUUAUUUGGACUCACUACAGAUUGGACCAUGAAGCUUUCUAUCUCAAACUGAUCAACUGAAGUCAUAAUUUCCUACCCUGUAGAAGAAGUUAUCAACAAGAACAAUAGAUGCAAUAGUAGAUGUGACAAGCAUAGUAACGUUGCAAAAUCAACUAGUAAACACACACGCCCACACACAUGCAAUGUAAGAAUUUAUACUCAUGGGACAGUUUUACAAAAAUUUUACUGUUUUAUUGUGGAAUGUGUACUUAACAUAGGGGUAAUUCAGGAGAUAUAAGUUCAAUAUUGUGUCAAAAAGUCACUUUAUCUAUCCUAUCUGGCCAAACCAAGACUGAAAGGGUAAUUAUAUCUAGUUUCUUUCAGGGAAACCCUGUAAGGAGUAUCUGUAAAAUCAGAGGAACUUCCCCUACUCCAACCUCAGCAGACCAGGCCGCCUUCAACAUUGUCAAAUCUAAUGUAGCUUCCCGUAUUUUUAUUCAAAGGUAGGUUUAAACUCUCAUUGUUCCUUUCUUAUUUGUGUGUGCUGAAUAUUGCCUGUCAUCAAAUUAUAUUUUUAUGAACUGCUUUCUCAUCCAAAGAACCAAACACACGCUGCAUGUCUGACAUUAUAGCUCAAUGACAAUCCCUAGUCUAUCCCAUUUUGAAGAGUUACUAAGGCCUCUGUGUCAGGUCAUGUUUAUGCUACAGAAUCAAUAAGUCACCAAUUUCAACUUAAAAGCCUAAUUUAUAGAAGGAAAGCAAAAAUAAAGAAAUGUUUUUAUUGUU